GUGUUCUCUUUUCUUUGUCUGCAGCUGAGUCUGGCUUUCCCAAUAAUAUUCUGUAUAUGCACAAUAUUUCUGGUGGUAGUGCCACUCUAUAGUGACUUUAUAAAUUCAGUGAUUGGAAUUGCUAUUGCUUUAUCUGGAAUUCCAUUCUUUUUCUUGGGAGUCUAUUUACCUGCAUCAAGGAGACCUCGAUUUGUUAACAAGAUUAUGGGUGCUGUCACACGAAACAUUCAGCUGCUCUGUUACUGUGUUUUAACAGAGGUGGACCCAAAUGACGAAAAGAAACCAGAAAUCAAAUCCAAGUAAAGUUUAAAGCCAUUACAGGAAGCAGGAGGGAGUAUAAAGCAAUUACACAAAUGAAAGGGAAGAGCUGGAACUGGAAGACACAGAAAAACUGUUUUCAGUGGUCUUUCAGAAAUGCUGAAAGUGUUCUUACUUGCAGAUGGAUUCCAACGUGGAUCAUGCCCUUGUGCCAUCCUCCUAAACUGUGGCAUGUUUUCAGGGCAGGUUUUCAUUGGAUAAUGAUUACCUACUCAUUACCUACUCACACAAGCUGUGUGUCAAUACUGUUUCUUCUUCAGAAUUGGUAUGAAAAUGGUAAGAGCUAAUGGAUCAAAUUAGAUUUCUGCAGAACCAGGUGGUGAAGUAAUGCAUUAUUACGUCAGACUGAAACCCACUUUGACUCCAAAGACUAAGUCAUUUCCAGCUUAAUUCUGAUGGAUGCUUGCAUGAAAUGAUUUGCUGUACUAUCUCAGUUAUUUUCCCAGAAGAAAACUGGUCACAACAAACUACUUCAUUUGUUUUUCUGCCCCUAAUGAUAAAUUAAGUUCUGCUCCAUUAUUUAUAGACUGAAACAACCUUUCUCCCCUUAAAGAUUUUAUUCUCUAUGCUACAUGGAAAUGUAUCUGACUGUGGGAAGGAUUUAAUCAGCUAAGCACCUUGCCACUGAAGAUUUGAUUAAUGGUUGAUUUUUUUCUUGUUUACUUGUUAGUACUUUGUAAAUUACUGUUAGGUUUUACGGAACUUCCAAAAUUAAAACAUUCAGUUUGAAGCCUGUAAA